GCCCAUGCCCAGCCCUAGUCCCUCACUCACUCACUCUCUCUGUCCCUUCCUCUUCUCUCUCUCAUCUGAGAUCCAGAUCAUGAGGUAGAUCAAAAUCCAAAUCCCAGGGCCAACCGCCACUCCUUCGUCGGAACUUCCAAGCCUCUCAUCUCAGUCCUUGCAUUUCUUUUUCUGUCUUUCGACAAUGAUGAUGAGAUCAUGUUCUGGAUGACGGUAAGAUCAAUGGUUCACGAUGACGAUCUGGAAACCGUACCGAAGAUGUGUUAAAUGUAGAAAUCUGGAUGGUAAUGGGUUUGCGAUUUGUAUGAUGAUCUCGAAGCUGUGUUUUACCAGAUCUUUUCUUGCGAUUCACCAAGAUCAGAGGGUUUAUCAAAACCCCAACGAAUACAUGGGCAGGGCAGGGCAGGGCAGGGCAGAGAAGAAGGUAAUGAAGCACGGAGACAGAGGGUUUAUCGAUCCUUCAACUAUUUGUUUACAAUGGUUCUUGUAUUGCAGUCUUGGAGGUCACAGUGGUUAUUAUGCUUAGUAGAAUCAACGUUGAGUUGAGAAAUGAAAAUGUUGACAGUGAAUGGAUCUAACCCCACAAUGGCAGUUGCGGCAACUACUGCGGGUGAUCAGCAAUUGCAACAGACUGCAAAUGUAUCUGAGAAAGAGAAAGAGAAUGAAACAUCAAUAACAAGUAACGACAAAUGACAAUGACAUUGGCAAUGGAAGUGGCAAAGAAAGCCCCUAUUUGCAUGAGGAAAGUGAUUUACCAUAAAGGUAUAUUACUUUUUGGAUCAACAGAAAUGCAAACCAUAAUAGCAAUCCUCAUGUUUUUAAUUAGAUUUUCCUUAAUUAUUAGUUUUUUGCAACCCCCUGGCUUUUUUGGGUUCACUCUACUUUGGGGUUUGAAAUAAUCUCUUUUUAAGUUUGCAUUUAUUGUUUUGAAAAUGUUGUAUUUGAAUGUAGCUUGGAACACAACCUCCCUGAUUGUCCAUUUGCAUCUCCUAAAGCUGCUGUGGACUUCUUUGAUGAUAAGUUAGCCAUAAUUGGAUGAUUUAGUUUAGUUUUACAGGGAUUUUUUGUGGCUCCUUUUCUUCAAUCUCACUACUAUUGUGACUCUUAAAUGUAUUAAGAAGUUCUCCUUAUUCGUUCGUUAUUUAAAUCCUUUUAUUUUCAUUUGAGCUUUCAAUCUCUUACUCAAUUCAUUGUUAUUUACAUGGCUUAUUCCAAAAAUCUGUUUUCCAUAACUUAUGUUGA